rnacentral:rRNA from 1 species
ACAUACGAACAUAGGGAGUGGAAAAUAGGGCUUCCCGUCCGCUCAGCCAUCACUCAAGCCACUCGUCGGCCUGUUAGUAGUUGGGCGGGUGACCACCAGCGAAUCCGGGCUUUCGUAUGUC